CACCUCUGGAAAGAUCCCCGAGCCUUCGUAUGCCCGGGGGCGCCGAAGGAGAAACGCGCCAGCCAAUCAGCACCCCUAACCGGCGGCGCCGAAAGCUCUCAGGCACCACAGACAGAGCGGGGA
rnacentral:ncRNA from 1 species